rnacentral:rRNA from 1 species
UUGAUCCUGGCUCAGAUUGAACGCUGGCGGCAGGCUUAACACAUGCAAGUCGAGCGGGGUGAUGGUGCUUGCACUAUCACUUAGCGGCGGACGGGUGAGUAAUGCUUAGGAAUCUGCCUAUUAGUGGGGGACAACAUCUCGAAAGGGAUGCUAAUACCGCAUACGUCCUACGGGAGAAAGCAGGGGAUCACUUGUGACCUUGCGCUAAUAGAUGAGCCUAAGUCGGAUUAGCUAGUUGGUGGGGUAAAGGCCUACCAAGGCGACGAUCUGUAGCGGGUCUGAGAGGAUGAUCCGCCACACUGGGACUGAGACACGGCCCAGACUCCUACGGGAGGCAGCAGUGGGGAAUAUUGGACAAUGGGGGGAACCCUGAUCCAGCCAUGCCGCGUGUGUGAAGAAGGCCUUAUGGUUGUAAGGCACUUUAAGCGAGGAGGAGGCUCUUUUGGUUAAUACCCAAGAUGAGUGGACGUUACUCGCAGAAUAAGCACCGGCUAACUCUGUGCCAGCAGCCGCGGUAAUACAGAGGGUGCAAGCGUUAAUCGGAUUUACUGGGCGUAAAGCGCGCGUAGGCGGCCAAUUAAGUC